GCAGAUCGUCGAGGUAAUGGGAUUGCUCUGUUGAAUCUUUCUUCUCUGCCUUUCAUCUUUUGGUUUCUUCUGAUUUCUCAAGAGGUGCUCUUAAAAAUAACAUGUGGUUGAAUACAUUGUUGGAGGGAAGGAUGACUUGAGUGAGUAAUAUUGUGUUUCAGGUAUGAUCUUUCCUCUGUGUGUGUCUUGAUUGUAUACAUCAGCUUCUCUCCGUUUCUCUGCUUUCAACACACAUUUAUAUGAAAGGUGAUCUUACGUACGUUCCCUUCCAAACGAGUUUGUUCAUGUAACUUUCCCUUUGUAAGCAGUUCUUUUAAUUGUAUGUUAUUAUGUCUUUUAGCUCUGUUAAGUCUGAGCCCCUCUAAGGCUGGACAUAUGUUCUACUCAGGUUUUUGUUCUCUUUCCCGUUGGUAUAUUUCUCUGUUUAUGUAUACCUCUCAUGCUGCAUCUAGUCCUACUGUUUGAUCCUAUUUUUAUAUGCUAUAUAGUUGAUGUUCUAUCAGAAAAAAAAACAUUAGGUUACGUUCGAGACUUUCUCUUUGAGAUAUAUCAGCUAUCUCUUUGUUUUUUUAUAAACUAGAUUUUGAAUUUUGGCUUCCUGAAUUUUGGAUUGUGCCACUGGGCAGUCUUCAACAUCAUUUGGACUUGUGAUUGGAUGUUUCAGGUUCAAAGUAUAGUUGAUGGUCUUCCUAGUGAGGCUAAUUGGUGUCUUAUCUUUUCUUAGUCGAGGUUCUAUAAAAGAGAAGCAUAGGGGAUCCUGAUCUGGUUAAGAGGAUUGGAGCAGCUACUGCAGUCAAAGUCGGAGCCACUGGAAUUUCAUACACAUUUGCUCCUCGCAUUGCAGUUUGUAGAGAUACCAGAUGGGGGUAGGUGUUAUGAGAGCUACAGCGAGAAUCACAAAGUUGUGGAAGACAUGACAUAUGUCAUACUUGGUUUACAAGGAGAGCCUCCUUCCAACUAUAAGCAUGGCUUUCCAUUCGUUGGUGGCACUGGCAGGGAUAAAGUUGCAACAUGUGCCAAGCAUUACGUGGGAGAUGGUGGGAAAAACCCGAGGAAAAAAUGAGAAUAACAGGGUGACUUAUUUACAUGGUCUUCUUAGUGUUCGCAUGCCUGUUUAUGCUGAUGCAGUUUACAAAGGUGUUUUCACAGUGAUUGUUUCAUAUUCAAGCUGGAAUGGUGAGAAGAUGCAUGCAAAUAUAUACUGAGCUUAUCACAGGUAAUUUGAUUCUAAUUGUCUUGACACUAGUCCUAAUAACUAUAAUUGUCUUCAGACAGUUUCAAAAUGCUAUUGGAUUCCUGAAAAUGAUCGGCGCACUGGAUGAGAAGGAAAAAUCUAACGGAUCUUGGUUUGUGUUGGAAAAUCAUUGAUUCUCCCCGUUGAUCCCAAGCUGCCAUCUUCCGCUGCUUUGACCCGAUCCUGACAGUUGUAUUUAUCAGGGCUCAGUGUCGAAGAUCCGUUCCUUCUACCUCAAGACAAUAAUGACGUAAGUACAAGGACUCAUGAUUCAUUUUUAUGAGUUAGGUUCAAGGAACUUCCUGUCAGCCCAGACGCUUCAGGCGACGAUAUAUUCUCUGACAUUUAAUAUCAGAAAACUAGGGCCAUUUACCAGCGUUUGUAUCAGAAAACUAGGGCCAUUUACCAACAACGACGAUGGAAUAGAAAUUUAGUAUCCUUGUUCUUGAUCUCUCUUCUGGGAAGUUUAUCAUGAAACCGUGGACAACACACUUAUCCCCUGCCCAUAUGUAUCAGAUCCUAGAUGUACUGAUAUAUUUAGCUUUGUCCAAUUGUAUCGAGACUGUGACGGAACUUAUGGUAUCGUCGACUACACCAAUUAUGAUGACAUGAAUUCUGUAUAUGUGCAGAUCGGAGAUGGUUUGAAGAAAUGAAGAAGAUUCUACAGGAAGCUGGUGAUGUUCGUGAAUCUCCCAUCAUCUCCUCCAUGGCAACAUUUGAAGGAUCAUUUGUGGAGAGCUGGUGAUGUCUUCUUUAAUCUGCUGAGGUCACUCGAGACAGUCUUACACAACGAUGGUCCAAUCCUAUUCUGUAGAUUGGAUUGGGGUUUGUUUCUGGAGUCCUGAGAGACGACGACAAUAUUGGGUUUUAACAAGAAGAGCUAACAAUCAGUAUACGUGCAAAUUUCUUGCCUGCAGCUUUGAAGGAGCUACAAAUCAGAGAGAUGGAUUGAAGAAUGAAGUAGAAGACUCAAGUCUGCUUUAGGAACCCAUGGUGUCGUCGACAACAACACCAGUUAUGAUGACAUAAAGUAUGCUUUGUUUGCUCUUGUGUGCAGAGGCUCAUCCAUUGGACUCACAUACAUCAUUUGUGUGAUUUCAUUCUCUUGUGCACACUGUCCGUUUAAACAAUGAGAAAUGCCCUAGACCAAUGUGCUAUACAAGGCCUACGGAAGUGAAAAGAAAGACACCCCAAAUUGUGAUGUCCCCGAAUUUGAGAUUCUAUAGGAAGCUCGUGAUGUGUGCUUCAUGGCAAGAUUUGAAGGAUCAUAUGCGGGGAGAUGGUGAUGUGUGCUUUGCUGAGGUGCAUCCGUAUUAUAUGUAGCUAGCUACUGGGAUUAAGAACUCUAAACAAGAAGCUAUCAUGGUUCUUGGACGAGGGAGGGAGGUGAAGGCACAAUUCAAAUUGUUGAAGCUUGUUGCCAUCUAUGCUCUACCGUUACAUAGGUAUAUCGUCGUUAGAAUUCAUCCCUCUGGCUUUUGGUAGCUUCAAGAAUUGCAAUGAGAGCUUGAAGGAAUGAGAUUAUGAUGAGAUCUUUUUUUGCUCUCUUAACAGCAAACCCAAAUUUUGGAUCGUGCGGAGUUGCUGGCAAGCAUGUCAAUGUCGAUUCUCAGAAAAGCUUGAAGGAAUGAUAUUACGAUGAGUUCUUUUUUUGCUCUCUCAACAACUAAAACAAAUUGUGGAAGCUUCAGGAAUUGCUGGAUCUUAUAUCGGAGUUGAUAGCAUAUCACACGAAGACGCACACAAAAGUUUCGUCUUUUCUGUGAUAUUUGAUCUUCUACUGUAUAUUGUUAGAAUUCAUCGCUCUGGCUUAUGGUAGCUUCAAGAAUUGCGUUGCAAAGUGGUAAGAAAGUUAAAUUGAUAAUGUUUUAGCACAAUGUUUCUCACUCUUUUUCUUACAGAAAAGCUUGAUCCUACUCUCAUAUGCUUGUGAUUGUGGUUUUACUCAUGUGAAUUGCUCCCGUCUUUGUUAUUUCUUAUGUGUUUGAUCCUUGGUGGUUUUUCUUAUGUAAAGUGCUCCCUUCUUUGUUAUUUCUUAUGUGUUUGAUCCUACUCUCAUAUGCUUGUGAUUGUGGUUUUUCUUAUGUGAAGUGCUCCUUCUUUAUGGGUAGGAUAAUUUUUCAUCGACUUUCUUCUAUUUCUAUGUUAUUUCUUAUGUGUUUGAUCCUACUCUCAUAUGCUUGUGAUUGGUGGGUUUUCUCUUUUCCUUGGAGAUAUAUGAUCAGUUUUGCUUCCCCUUUUCUCUUUUUGUCUUUCUGCAUUUUUCUAUGGUUUAAAUGCUAAUCACUUCUGUUUGGGAUUGUGUUUUCCAUAUUUUUGCAUCAAUCACUCCUCUCUGUUUCUCUGUUGUCUGUCUACACACAUUCAUACGAUAUGUCCUCAGUGUCUUAUUGUGUUUUUCAUAUUUUUGCAUCAAUCACUCCUCUCUGUUGUUUCUCUACUGUCUGUCUACACACAUUCAUAUGAUAGGUGUUCUUAAAAAUAACAUGUGGUUGAAGACAUUGUUGGAGGGAAGGAUGGCUUGAGUGAGUAAUAUCGUCGUGUUUCAGGUUAAUUCGCAUCUCUACACCUUUCUGCUAUUUAAUUUUGAUUGUGGCUUGAGUGAGUAAUAUUGUGAUCUUUCCUCUGUGUGUCUUAUUGCGUUUUCUAGAUUUUAUACAUCAACUUCUCUCUGUUUCUCUUUCCCUUUUCUCUUUUAAAUAUUCUGCAUUUUUCUAUGGUUUAAAUGCUAAUCAAUUCUGUUUGGGAUUGUGUGUUUUGUAUUUCUACGUGAAUUCAUUGUCUGCGUAUAGGAAUUUGGUUGAUGCAAGUAGAAGAUCUGUUUGAAUUCUUAAUUCCUAUUGUUAAUUCAGGUGUCAUGAGCUUCUUUUUCCUGGGGUUUGUUUGUGGUUGUUAGUUGUUACGCCUCUUUUUUUAUUUUUGAGUUACUUCUGAUUGUUAUAGUUUAAUGGGUAUUCAAGAGAAGUAAGCUUUGGGUUCCUCACUGGUUGCAUAAAGGAUUGAUCUCAAUUGGUAUGUUUCCUUUUUGUUAUUAUUUCCUCUUUAUGUCUUUAUUGUAUUUUCCAGGAUAUCUUCAUCGAUCACUAUACUCCGAUCCUUUUAAAUGAAUUUGUACUUAUUUACUGUCCUUUUCAUGAUGGAUGUCUCUACCAAAGUAGUUUUUGCAUUGAACAACCUCAAGUCUGAGCUUCUCUUAAGCAGAAAGCUAGACAUGUUGUUAAUCAGGUUUUGGAUGAUGCUUUUAUCGAUGAGAGUGAUGGCUUCGUCUCUGUGCAGCUAACGUCUUCAUGGGUUUUGUUCUUCCUUUUUACUUUCUUUCUUUUUGUUGUUGUCGUUGUUUUGUUCCUUACGUUUCUUUGUUCGUAUUGCAGGUGUUGUGGAAGCGAAUUAUUAUCAGAUCAUCGCACAAUUUUCUCUAGGCCUACAUCUUCAAGCCUUCUCACGGAUGUGUGGAGGAGGAUCCUUUGAUCAUUGAUAGCUUUGACUGAUCGUUGUCACUCCAAUUAUUCUUCUUGGUUUUUUGGAUGAUGCUUUUAUCGAUGAGAGUGAGUGAUGAUGGCUCAAGGACACGAUUCACUUCUUCUCUUUGCUAACGUCUUCAAGGGUUUUGUUCUUCCUCUUAACACUUCUUUUACUCUCUGUUUUUUUGUUCCUUACAUUACUUUCUUCUUCGUCUUGCAGGUGUUUUGGAAGCUAGUUAUGUUCUAAAUUGCAUCAAGUUGCUAUUUUGAUAAUGAAUUUGUUUAUGUUGAUUUACUUGUCGUUCUAUUAUUUCAGGUUCCGGAUGAUGCUUAUUAUGUUCAUGGGAUUUUUACCUCUUCGCUAUGUUUUUUCAGGUUGUGGAGUAUCGGUCUGUGAUGCUUUUGAUGUAUCCUUUUUGUCUACUAUGUGCUAACUAGUGUAUACUAACUAGUGUCAUAGGUCUGCUAAACCUGAAUAUUUUUAAGUUGUUUUCUUUGUGUGCUAAAUCUGCUAAUUAAUGUGUUUUUUUUUUUAAGUCUCUUAGAUGGUACGCUUAUGUCUGAGCUCCUCUUAUGCACAAGGCUAGUUGGACAUGUGGUUUAUUCUGGUUUUUGGUCUCUUUCCCGUUGGUAUUUUCUCUGUUUAUGUAUCUCUCUCAUGUUGCAUCUAUUCCCACUGUUUGAUCAUAGAUAGUCGAAGUUCUAUCAGAGAAAAGCGUCGGGUUACUUACUUGUAUCUCUCCACUUUUUCUUUGUAAAUGGUCUAUGUAUCUCUCAUGCUGCAUCUAUUCCAAUGGAUUUUGUUCUUUUUAACUAGUUUUUGUUCCAUUGUCUUUUAUGUCUCUUUGGUGGUAUGCUUUAAGUCUGAGCUUUUCUGAUGCACUAGGUGGUCUGUUCGUUCAGGUUCUUGUUCUCUUUCUCUUUGGGAUCUGUCAGCUAUCUCUUUAAUUUGUUUAUAUAAACUAGAUUUUGAAUUUUGGCUUCCUGAGUUUUUGAUUGUGCCACUAGGCAGUCUUCAACAUCAUUUGGAAUUAUUAUUGAAUGUUUCAGGUUCGUUUUAGUUGAUGAGAUUCUUAGUGACGCUGGCAUCUAGGCAACCUAAGACCAUGUCUUUUGUUACUGAUUGGUCUCUUUCCUCUUUUUCUUUGUUUUUGUAUUUAUCAUGCUGCAUUUGUUCCUAGUGUUAUAUGAUCUUAUUCCUAUAAUGCUGCAUUUGUUCCUAGUGUUUGAUCUUAUUCCUAUAUGCUUUUUAUUUGAAUUGAUCAGGUUUGUCUGUUACCUCUUUGGUGGUUUCGUCUUUUCCCUGUUUUUGGUUUGUAAACUAGGUGGAGAUGUGAUCAUUGUUCCUGCCCCUUAUCUUGUUUCGUCUUCUUUACAGGUAUGUUGAGGGUGCAAAGGAGGCGAGUUCUAUUUUGAUAUAUUUUCAUCUACAAGUCUUGUUGGUAGUCCCUUUUCUCUUUCUGUAUUUUUUCUAUGAUAUGAAUUGUUUUAAGACUUGCAUUGUUUUUCUAUGAUCUGCAUUUUUUCCUUCUAUGUUUCGUUCCCUGAGCUUUGGACUGUGACAGUGGGGAGUUUGACAUGAUUGGUACUUGUUAUUGGAACUAUAAUGUUCCACAUCUGCCUAGUGAUGAUGGCUUUUCUUUUUAUGUUUUGGCUACCUCUAUAUUUCAUGGAGAUGUCAUCAGGAUUUGUUUUUGCCUUCCUGAUUUUGCAUUCUGCAUCUUUUCUGUGGUUUAAAUGCUAUCACCUGCUUGAGUCAUUAUCUUUAUGCAUAGGAGUUCGGUGCAAAGGCAGAUUUCUGUUUGGAUAUAUAUAUGCAUCAUGACUCAUGAGUUUGUGAGGUGGCUUUUCUAUGUUUUGUUACUUCCUAUAGUAUUUUUACUUGGCCUUUGUUGUUGUAGAUUGUGUGGUGGAUAAUGCUAUGAUAUUUCUUAAUUGUAUUUUUACUUAAUAAUUAAAAAAAAUCUCUAUGAAUUGAUAAUUAUUAAUUCUGCUAGAAAAUAAGAAAUAUUAGUUUAUAAAUAUAUUACUUUCACUAUGAAUUAUUAAAAUAUUUUUAUCUCAACAUUAUUAAUCUAAUCUAAAUCACUAUUUGCAUUGAACAUCUUCAAGUCUGAGCUUCUCUUAAGCAGAAAGCUAGACAUGUUGUUAAUCAGGUAUUUGUUCAUCUUUCCUUCUUGGAUCUUCUGCAAUAUGUUGAUUCAUACUUCCUGUAUUUUGAAGUGCGUUUAGCCUCAUGAGCUUUUAACUAUGAGACUAUGAUAGUGGGGAGUUUCACAUGAUUGGAACUUGUCAUUGGGUGUUCCCCGUCAUCUGUAAUGUUCCUCAUCUACCUAGUGUUAUUUGCAUUUCUGCUUAUGCGUGAUUUUUUUGUUAAGUCUUUUAACAUAGACAGGUUACUAUUUGGUUCUCUUAUCCAUUUUGGUGUGCUACAUAUCUUGCUACUUUUUUUUUCUCAUGAUGGUAGACUUCGUAGGAAUGUUCUCAGGUAAUCAGUGAAAAUUGAAAACAUCACCUCUUUACAUCUGGCGAAGAGGUUGAUUAAGUAAGUUGUUGGCUUGCAGGUCAAAGCUUUCAGUCUAACACGUUAAAGUAACCUCCAUUAUGGUUACUUUUAUUCAGAUUCUACCACAGAAGUGUCUAGAUCAUUUAUAAGACCUUCGGUGUGUGUUGCUUGUACAAUUGCGUAAAUGAUGUUUUCUCAACUUCUCAUUGUUCGGAACAUAGAGGAGUCUCUUUUCGAUUUGUCAUGUCGUGGCCAUGAAGCCUACGCUGGUGUUGCGGUUUCUGAAGUUCUUAUGGGAAGCACUGUGACUGGACUGGAGUAGAGACUGAAAAUGUUUGGAGUUUGUAAGUAGUGCAUCUGUUCUCGGAGAAAUGAAGUCUUGGAUGUAUAAGAUUCUGUUUUGGAAGUUUUAAAAGAUUAAUUGAUGAUAUUGGUGAAAUGAUAGGAAUGAGUACACACAUGAGAAGCAUAUAUCCGUUGGUGAGCGUAGAUCCUAAUGAUGUCCAAAUGAUCUGAGAUAUGGGGGAAUGUGUGGUAUAGGCGAAACCACCCACCAACGCAAAAAUUAUGUCUACGAAGUCUUGUUGAGCGAGUUCGAUGGUGCUUCCUUGUUAGAGAAUGUGAAAGAGGCUUAUAAACGAUAUGGUCAAUUCAAAAUUAACGAACGAAUAAUAGAGAACUGGAUCAUAUAUUGGGCUCAGAAAACCUAUUUAAGGCCUGCUAUCAAAGUGGGCUGACAAUAUGUGAAAGGAAAAUACGAAAAUUGUGGUGUUUGUUUCGUAUUUAGCAUUAUGAAGAAUUGUUUUAUUAUUACCAUUUAUGAAGAACACAACCAUUUGAUU